rnacentral:rRNA from 1 species
CCUACGGGAGGCUGCAGUGAGGAAUAUUGGUCAAUGGACGAGAGUCUGAACCAGCCAAGUAGCGUGAAGGAUGACUGCCCUAUGGGUUGUAAACUUCUUUUAUAUGGGAAUAAAAUGUUCCACGUGUGGGAUUUUGUAUGUACCAUAUGAAUACGGAUCGGCUAACUCCGUGCCAGCAGCCGCGGUAAUACGGAGGAUCCGAGCGUUAUCCGGAUUUAUUGGGUUUAAAGGGAGCGUAGGUGGAUUGUUAAGUCAGUUGUGAAAGUUUGCGGCUCAACCGUAAAAUUGCAGUUGAAACUGGCAGUCUUGAGUACAGUAGAGGUGGGCGGAAUUCGUGGUGUAGCGGUGAAAUGCUUAGAUAUCACGAAGAACUCCGAUUGCGAAGGCAGUUCACUGGACUGCAACUGACACUGAGGCUCGAAAGUGUGGGUAUCAAACAGGAUUAGAUACCCUAGUAGUC